UCAUCGAUGAAACAAUAGACGAAAUC
rnacentral:piRNA from 1 species